rnacentral:lncRNA from 1 species
GUGGGCGGCGGCGGCGAGAUGGCUCAGCCUUCUGGGAGGGGAGGCUUCCAUUCGCUGUGCCCGCAUCUUGGCGGGUCGGCUGCGGCGGCGGCUGGCUUUCCGGCGUUGGCUCGUUUGUAGGUGGCCCGUUUCGACCUUCGAUACCUCUCCUCGUCGUCUGGCCGCUACCUCCGUCGAAGGGUUGGCCCUCCCCUAGCUGCGGUCCAUCGCUCGUCUCGCGCCUGGCGGCAGGACCGAGCUCGUCUCGCGCUCGGCAGCAGGACGGGUCGAUGGAGGCCGAUUUUGGCCGGCCUAUUGGGUCUCGGCGCUGGGGGCUGCCCAGGGGUGCGAAAGACGGAUCCUUUCUGCUUGUAUCUUUGAUUGGGGUAGCGGCGGGUCUCGGUGAGGUGGUGCCAAGGUCUUGGAUGCCGGGGCGGCGCCCCGGAUGGUGGUGCCAAGGUCUUGGAUGCCGGGGCGGCGGCUCGGAUGGUGGUGCCGCGGUGCUCAUGGGCAGAGUCCGUGGCGCAGUGCUGCCCGGUGGCCAUGGCCAUGUGGGUGGCGUGGUCGCCAGGGUAUGGUGUUCGGAGGCGGUGAGUGUUGGCCGGGGUGAAAACCUGAUCUAUCUUCGGACGGGCCAGCAGCGGCAAAGCUCGUUCCCUUCUUGAAGGUGUCGUCGCGGCUCUCAUUGCCUGUCGUGUUGCUCCCGGGGAAACUCUGAUCCUCGGGUCGGGCGGUGGCAGCGCUCUGGUGUCGUAACCUUCCUGAAGGCGCCGCCUUGGAGCCCACGGUUCAUCGUAUGCGGCUUCAUCUCUUCGCGGUGGCGUGUUCACGGUUGAGGACCCCGGUGGCUCUUGUAGUGCUACGGGUGGUGUUGUUGCAGUGCCUAUGUAUCCUGCCUUAGGUGUGUGCGUGUGUUGUGGUGGCGUGUGUUUGUACCGGGUUGUGGAUGAUCGUUGCUUUAUAUAUAAAGCGGGGCGGAAGCCUUUUUCGGUUAAAUCCAUGUACAGUUUCAAAUUUUCACAACAAAUUUCAACUCUUUUUCUAAUAAUAAGACAAUAUUCUUACUUCUCCAGUAACUACAACACAUUUGCCUCAAGAAGAUCCCACUUACACUAUAAGUUCUAACUAGAAUUUUGGUGACCCUAUGGCUAAGAUACAUUGCAUUGUGCGGCUCCCAUUGUUCACAAACCAUUACCAUAUCAUGUAGAAAUUCCAUUCAAAAGACAGGCAUAUUAGUUGGCUUGUGAAUUGCAGCAACAAAGCUUGCACCACCUUCUGUUUUUUCUGUACUAUGAUGAAUACUAAUCACAAUGAAGCGAGGGCCAUCAAGCAUUUAG